rnacentral:rRNA from 1 species
UCGAGCGAAUGGAUUAAGAGCUUGCUCUUAUGAAGUUAGCGGCGGACGGGUGAGUAACACGUGGGUAACCUGCCCAUAAGACUGGGAUAACUCCGGGAAACCGGGGCUAAUACCGGAUAACAUUUUGAACCGCAUGGUUCGAAAUUGAAAGGCGGCUUCGGCUGUCACUUAUGGAUGGACCCGCGUCGCAUUAGCUAGUUGGUGAGGUAACGGCUCACCAAGGCAACGAUGCGUAGCCGACCUGAGAGGGUGAUCGGCCACACUGGGACUGAGACACGGCCCAGACUCCUACGGGAGGCAGCAGUAGGGAAUCUUCCGCAAUGGACGAAAGUCUGACGGAGCAACGCCGCGUGAGUGAUGAAGGCUUUCGGGUCGUAAAACUCUGUUGUUAGGGAAGAACAAGUGCUAGUUGAAUAAGCUGGCACCUUGACGGUACCUAACCAGAAAGCCACGGCUAACUACGUGCCAGCAGCCGCGGUAAUACGUAGGUGGCAAGCGUUAUCCGGAAUUAUUGGGCGUAAAGCGCGCGCAGGUGGUUUCUUAAGUCUGAUGUGAAAGCCCACGGCUCAACCGUGGAGGGUCAUUGGAAACUGGGAGACUUGAGUGCAGAAGAGGAAAGUGGAAUUCCAUGUGUAGCGGUGAAAUGCGUAGAGAUAUGGAGGAACACCAGUGGCGAAGGCGACUUUCUGGUCUGUAACUGACACUGAGGCGCGAAAGCGUGGGGAGCAAACGGAUUAGAUACCCUGGUAGUCCACGCCGUAAACGAUGAGUGCUAAGUGUUAGAGGGUUUCCGCCCUUU